rnacentral:rRNA from 1 species
UACGUAGGGGGCAAGCGUUGUCCGGAAUUAUUGGGCGUAAAGAGCUCGUAGGCGGUUUGUCGCGUCUGCUGUGAAAACUGGAGGCUCAACCUCCAGCCUGCAGUGGGUACGGGCAGACUAGAGUGCGGUAGGGGAGAUUGGAAUUCCUGGUGUAGCGGUGGAAUGCGCAGAUAUCAGGAGGAACACCGAUGGCGAAGGCAGAUCUCUGGGCCGUAACUGACGCUGAGGAGCGAAAGCAUGGGGAGCGAACAGG